GAGCUGGAGUUGAACCAGCAACCUAAGGAAUACAGCAAUUUCUAUCGGGAAAUUCCUACAACCCUCCGCUCUACCAACUGAGCUAUCAGGGUGUUCUCUAGUCACAACUGCAGAAAACAUAGUGGCUGAGACAACACCCUAUGCCCACACAACUAUUGGAACCCAUAGUCAAUCAAAAGCCCAGCCUUACCUGCAGAACAAAGCUUUGCAGUUUGUACCCAACAGUCAUUGCCAGGGACCCAGAACUGAUAAUCAAGACUUUUAGGCUGGGUGAAUAAAAAAUUGAUGGUUGGAAAAUUAAGUUAUGUGUUUUUAAAUAUUGGAGGAGUUGACAGAUAAAGACAAGGCUUGGCUUUAUUUCAAUUUGACAUGCACAGGCUUGGAGCUGGAGUUGAACCAGCGACUUCAGGAUCACAGCAUUUCAGAUGAGAAACAUCCUACAGCCCUCCACUCUACCAACUGAGCUAUCAGGGUGUUCUCUAGUCACAAUUGCAGAAAACAUAGUGGCUGAGACAACACCCUAUGCCCACACAACUAUUGGAACCCAUAGUCAAUCAAAAGCCCAGCCCUACCUGCAGAACAAAGCUUUGCAGCUUGUACCCAACAGUCAUUGCCAGGGACCCAGAACUGAUAAUCAAGACUUUUAGGCUGGGUGAAUAAAAAAUUGAUGGUUGGAAAAUUAAGUUAUGUGGUUUGAAAUAUUGGAGGAGUUGACAGAUAAAGACAAGGCUUGGCUUUAUUUCAAUUUGACAUGCACAGGCUUGGAGCUGGAGUUGAACCGGCGACUUCAGGAUCACAGCGUUUCAGAUGAGGAACAUGCUACAGCCCUCCGCUCUACCAACUGAGCUAUCAGGGUGUUCUCUAGGCGCAAUCACAGAAAACAUAGUGGCUGAGACAACACCCUAUGCCCACACAACUAUUGGAACCCAUAGUCAAUCAAAAGCCCAGCCCUACCUGCAGAACAAAGCUUUGCAGUUUGUACCCAACAGUCAUUGCCAGGGACCCAGAACUGAUAAUCAAGGCUUUUAGGCUGGGUGAAUAAAAAAUUGAUGGUUGGAAAAUUAAGUUAUGUGGUUUGUGUUUUUAAAUAUUGGAGGAGUUGACAGAUAAAGACAAGGCUUGGCUUUAUUUCAAUUUGACAUGCACAGGCUUGGAGCUGGAGUUGAACCGGCGACUUCAGGAUCACAGCGUUUCAGAUGAGGAACAUCCUACAGCCCUCCGCUCUACCAACUGAGCUAUCAGGGUGUUCUCUAGUCACAAUUGCAGAAAACAUAGUGGCUGAGACAACACCCUAUGCCCACACAACUAUUGGAACCCAUAGUCAAUCAAAAGCCCAGCCCUACCUGCAGAACAAAGCUUUGCAGUUUGUACCCAACAGUCAUUGCCAGGGACCCAGAACUGAUAAUCAAGACUUUUAGGCUGGUUGAAUAAAAAAUUGAUGGUUGGAAAAUUAAGUUAUGUGGUUUUAAAUAUUGGAGGAGUUGACAGAUAAAGACAAGGCUUGGCUUUAUUUCAAUUUGACAUGCACAGGCUUGGAGCUGGAGUUGAACCGGCGACUUCAGGAUCACAGCGUUUCAGAUGAGGAACAUGCUACAGCCCUCCGCUCUACCAACUGAGCUAUCAGGGUGUUCUCUAGUCACAAUUGCAGAAAACAUAGUGGCUGAGACAACACCCUAUGCCCACACAACUAUUGGAACCCAUAGUCAAUCAAAAGCCCAGCCUUACCUGCAGAACAAAGCUUUGCAGUUUGUACCCAACAGUCAUUGCCAGGGACCCAGAACUGAUAAUCAAGACUUUUAGGCUGGGUGAAUAAAAAAUUGAUGGUUGGAAAAUUAAGUUAUGUGUUUUUAAAUAUUGGAGGAGUUGACAGAUAAAGACAAGGCUUGGCUUUAUUUCAAUUUGACAUGCACAGGCUUGGAGCUGGAGUUGAACCAGCGACUUCAGGAUCACAGCAUUUCAGAUGAGAGACAUCCUACAGCCCUCCACUCUACCAACUGAGCUAUCAGGAUGUUCUCUAGUCACAAUUGCAGAAAACAUAGUGGCUGAGACAACACCCUAUGCCCACACAACUAUUGGAACCCAUAGUCAAUCAAAAGCCCAGCCCUACCUGCAGAACAAAGCUUUGCAGCUUGUACCCAACAGUCAUUGCCAGGGACCCAGAACUGAUAAUCAAGACUUUUAGGCUGGGUGAAUAAAAAAUUGAUGGUUGGAAAAUUAAGUUAUGUGGUUUGAAAUAUUGGAGGAGUUGACAGAUAAAGACAAGGCUUGGCUUUAUUUCAAUUUGACAUGCACAGGCUUGGAGCUGGAGUUGAACCGGCGACUUCAGGAUCACAGCGUUUCAGAUGAGGAACAUCCUACAGCCCUCCGCUCUACCAACUGAGCUAUCAGGGUGUUCUCUAGUCACAAUUGCAGAAAACAUAGUGGCUGAGACAACACCCUAUGCCCACACAACUAUUGGAACCCAUAGUCAAUCAAAAGCCCAGCCCUACCUGCAGAACAAAGCUUUGCAGUUUGUACCCAACAGUCAUUGCCAGGGACCCAGAACUGAUAAUCAAGACUUUUAGGCUGGGUGAAUAAAAAACUGAUGGUUGGAAAAUUAAGUUAUGUUGUUUGUGUUUUUAAAUAUUGGAGGAGUUGACAGAUAAAGACAAGGCUUGGCUUUAUUUCAAUUUUAACAUGCAGAGGCUUGGAGCUGGAGUUGAACCGGCAACUUCAGGAUCACAGCGUUUCAGAUGAGGAACAUGCUACAGCCCUCCGCUCUACCAACUGAGCUAUCAGGGUGUUCUCUAGUCACAAUCGCAGAAAACAUAGUGGCUGAGACAACACCCUAUGCCCACACAACUAUUGGAACCCAUAGUCAAUCAAAAGCCCAGCCCUACCUGCAGAACAAAGCUUUGCAGUUUGUACCCAACAGUCAUUGCCAGGGACCCAGAACUGAUAAUCAAGACUUUUAGGCUGGGUGAAUAAAAAAUUGAUGGUUGGAAAAUUAAGUUAUGUGGUUUUAAAUAUUGGAGGAGUUGACAGAUAAAGACAAGGCUUGGCUUUAUUUCAAUUUGACAUGCACAGGCUUGGAGCUGGAGUUGAACCGGCGACUUCAGGAUCACAGCGUUUCAGAUGAGUAACAUCCUACAGCCCUCCGCUCUACCAACUGAGCUAUCAGGGUGUUCUCUAGUCACAAUUGCAGAAAACAUAGUGGCUGAGACAACAACCUAUGCCCACACAACUAUUGGAACCCAUAGUCAAUCAAAAGCCCAGCCCUACCUGCAGAACAAAGCUUUGCAGUUUGUACCCAACAGUCAUUGCCAGGGACCCAGAACUGAUAAUCAAGACUUUUAGGCUGGGUGAAUAAAAAACUGAUGGUUGGAAAAUUAAGUUAUGUUGUUUGUGUUUUUAAAUAUUGGAGGAGUUGACAGAUAAAGACAAGGCUUGGCUUUAUUUCAAUUUUAACAUGCACAGGCUUGGAGCUGGAGUUGAACCGGCGACUUCAGGAUCACAGCGUUUCAGAUGAGGAACAUGCUACAGCCCUCCGCUCUACCAACUGAGCUAUCAGGGUGUUCUCUAGUCACAAUUGCAGAAAACAUAGUGGCUGAGACAACACCCUAUGCCCACACAACUAUUGGAACCCAUAGUCAAUCAAAAGCCCAGUCCUACCUGCAGAACAAAGCUUUGCAGCUUGUACCCAACAGUCAUUGCCAGGGACCCAGAACUGAUAAUCAAGACUUUUAGGCUGGGUGAAUAAAAAACUGAUGGUUGGAAAAUUAAGUUAUGUGGUUUGUGUUUUUAAAUAUUGGAGGAGUUGACAGAUAAAGACAAGGCUUGGCUUUAUUUCAAUUUGACAUGGACAGGUUUGGAGCUGGAGUUGAACCGGCGACUUCAGGAUCACAGCAUUUCAGAUGAGGAACAUCCUACAGCCCUCCGCUCUACCAACUGAGCUAUCAGGGUGUUCUCUAGUCACAAUUGCAGAAAACAUAGUGGCUGAGACAACACCCUAUGCACACGCAACUAUUGGAACCCAUAGUCAAUCAAAAGCCCAGCCCUACCUGCAGAACAAAGCUUUGCAGUUUGUACCCAACAGUCAUUGCCAGGGACCCAGAACUGAUAAUCAAGACUUUUAGGCUGGGUGAAUAAAAAAUUGACUGUUGGAAAAUUAAGUUAUGUGGUUUGUGUUUUUAAAUAUUGGAGGAGUUGACAGAUAAAGACAAGGCUUGGCUUUAUUUCAAUUUGACAUGCACAGGCUUGGAGCUGGAGUUGAACCGGCGACUUCAGGAUCACAGCGUUUCAGAUGAGGAACAUCCUACAGCCCUCCGCUCUACCAACUGAGCUAUCAGGGUGUUCUCUAGUCACAAUUGCAGAAAACAUAGUGGCUGAGACAACACCCUAUGCCCACACAACUAUUGGAACCCAUAGUCAAUCAAAAGCCCAGCCCUACCUGCAGAACAAAGCUUUUCAGUUUGUACCCAACAGUCAUUGCCAGGGACCCAGAACUGAUAAUCAAGACUUUUAGGCUGGGUGAAUAAAAAAUUGACUGUUGGAAAAUUAAGUUAUGUGUUUUUAAAUAUUGGAGGAGUUGACAGAUAAAGACAAGGCUUGGCUUUAUUUCAAUUUGACAUGCACAGGCUUGGAGCUGGAGUUGAACCGGCGACUUCAGGAUCACAGCGUUUCAGAUGAGGAACAUCCUAGAGCUCUCCACUCUACCAACUGAGCUAUCAGGGUGUUCUCUAGUCACAAUUGCAGAAAACAUAGUGGCUGAGACAACACCCUAUGAUCACACAACUAUUGGAACCCAUAGUCAAUCAAAAGCCCAGCCCUACCUGCAGAACAAAGCUUUGCAGUUUGUACCCAACAGUCAUUGCCAGGGACCCAGAACUGAUAAUCAAGACUUUUAGGCUGGGUGAAUAAAAAAUUGAUGGUUGGAAAAUUAAGUUAUGUGUUUUAAAAUAUUGGAGGAGUUGACAGAUAAAGACAAGGCUUGGCCUUAUUUCAAUUUGACAUGCACAGGCUUGGAGCUGGAGUUGAACCGGCGACUUCAGGAUCACAGCGUUUCAGAUGAGAAACAUCCUACAGCCCUCCGCUCUACCAACUGAGCUAUCAGGGUGUUCUCUAGUCACAAUUGCAGAAAACAUAGUGGCUGAGACAACACCCUAUGCCCACACAACUAUUGGAACCCAUAGUCAAUCAAAAGCCCAGCCCUAGCUGCAGAACAAAGCUUUGCAGCUUGUACCCAACAGUCAUUGCCAGGGACCCAGAACUGAUAAUCAAGACUUUUAGGCUGGGUGAAUAAAAAAUUGAUGGUUGGAAAAUUAAGUUAUGUUUGUGGUUUUAAAUAUUGGAGGAGUUGACAGAUAAAGACAAGGCUUGGCUUUAUUUCAAUUUGACAUGCACAGGCUUGGAGCUGGAGUUGAACCGGCGACUUCAGGAUCACAGCGUUUCAGAUGAGGAACAUCCUACAGCCCUCCGCUCUACCAACUGAGCUAUCAGGGUGUUCUCUAGUCACAAUUGCAGAAAACAUAGUGGCUGAGACAACACCCUAUGCCCACACAACUAUUGGAACCCAUAGUCAAUCAAAAGCCCAGCCCUACCUGCAGAACAAAGCUUUGCAGUUUGUACCCAACAGUCAUUGCCAAGGACCCAUAACUGAUAAUCAAGACUUUCAGGCUGGGUGAAUAAAAAAUUGAUGGUUGGAAAAUUAAGUUAUGUGGUUUGUGUUUUUAAAUAUUGGAGGAGUUGACAGAUAAAGGCAAGGCUUGGCUUUAUUUCAAUUUGACAUGCACAGGCUUGGAGCUGGAGUUGAACCGGCGACUUCAGGAUCACAGCGUUUCAGAUGAGGAACAUCCUACAGCCGUCCGCUCUACCAACUGAGCUAUCAGGGUGUUCUCUAGCCACAAUUGCAGAAAACAUAGUGAUUGAGACAACACCCUAUGCCCACACAACUAUUGGAACCCAUAGUCAAUCAAAAGCCCAGCCCUACCUGCAGAACAAAGCUUUGCAGCUUGUACCCAACAGUCAUUGCCAGGGACCCAGAACUGAUAAUCAAGACUUUUAGGUUGGGUGAAUAAAAAACUGAUGGUUGGAAAAUUAAGUUAUGUUGUUUGUGUUUUUAAAUAUUGGAGGAGUUGACAGAUAAAGACAAGGCUUGGCUUUAUUUCAAUUUUAACAUGCACAGGCUUGGAGCUGGAGUUGAACCAGCGACUUCAGGAUGACAGCGUUUCAGAUGAGGAAUAUGCUACAGCCCUCCGCUCUACCAACUGAGCUAUCAGGGUGUUCUCUAGUCACAAUCGCAGAAAACAUAGUGGCUGAGACAACACCCUAUGCCCACACAACUAUUGGAACCCAUAGUCAAUCAAAAGCCCAGCCCUUCCUGCAGAACAAAGCUUUGCAGUUUGUACCCAACAGUCAUUGCCAGGGACCCAGAACUGAUAAUCAAGACUUUUAGGCUGGGUAAAUAAAAAAUUGACUGUUGGAAAAUUAAGUUAUGUGUUUUUAAAUAUUGGAGGAGUUGACAGAUAAAGACAAGGCUUGGCUUUAUUUCAAUUUGACAUGCACAGGCUUGGAGCUGGAGUUGGACCGGCGACUUCAGGAUCACAGCGUUUCAGAUGAGGAACAUCCUACAGCCCUCCGCUCUACCAACUGAGCUAUCAGGGUGUUCUCUAGUCACAAUUGCAGAAAACAUAGUGGCUGAGACAACACCCUAUGCCCACACAACUAUUGGAACCCAUAGUCAAUCAAAAGCCCAGCCCUACCUGCAGAACAAAGCUUUGCAGCUUGUACCCAACAGUCAUUGCCAGGGACCCAGAACUGAUAACCAAGACUUUUAGGCUGGGUGAAUAAAAAAUUGAUGGUUGGAAAAUUAAGUUAUGUGGUUUUAAAUAUUGGAGGAGUUGACAGAUAAAGACAAGGCUUGGCUUUAUUUCAAUUUGACAUGCACAGGCUUGGAGCUGGAGUUGAACCAGCGACUUCAGGAUCACAGCGUUUCAGAUGAGGAACAUCCUACAGCCCUCCGCUCUACCAACUGAGCUAUCAGGGUGUUCUCUAGUCACAAUCGCAGAAAACAGUGGCUGAGACAACACCCUAUGCCCACACAACUAUUGGAACCCAUAGUCAAUCAAAAGCCCAGCCCUACCUGCAGAACAAAGCUUUGCAGUUUGUACCCAACAGUCAUUGCCAGGGACCCAGAACUGAUAAUCAAGACUUUUAGGCUGGGUGAAUAAAAAAUUGACUGUUGGAAAAUUAAGUUAUGUGUUUUUAAAUAUUGGAGGAGUUGACAGAUAAAGACAAGGCUUGGCUUUAUUUCAAUUUGACAUGCACAGGCUUGGAGCUGGAGUUGAACCGGCGACUUCAGGAUCACAGCGUUUCAGAUGAGGAACAUCCUACAGCACUCCGCUCUACCAACUGAGCUAUCAGGGUGUUCUCUAGUCACAAUUGCAGAAAACAUAGUGGCUGAGACAACACCCUAUGCCCACACAACUAUUGGAACCCAUAGUCAAUCAAAAGCCCAGCCCUACCUGCAGAACAAAGCUUUGCAGUUUGUACCCAACAGUCAUUGCCAGGGACCCAGAACUGAUAAUCAAGACUUUUAGGCUGGGUGAAUAAAAAACUGAUGGUUGGAAAAUUAAGUUAUGUUGUUUGUGUUUUUAAAUAUUGGAGGAGUUGACAGAUAAAGACAAGGCUUGGCUUUAUUUCAAUUUUAACAUGCACAGGCUUGGAGCUGGAGUUGAACGAGCGACUUCAGGAUCACAGCGUUUCAGAUGAGGAACAUGCUACAGCGCUCCGCUCUACCAACUGAGCUAUCAGGGUGUUCUCUAGUCACAAUCGCAGAAAACAUAGUGGCUGGGACAACACCCUAUGCCCACACAACUAUUGGAACCCAUAGUCAAUCAAAAGCCCAGCCCUACCUGCAGAACAAAGCUUUGCAGUUUGUACCCAACAGUCAUUGCCAGGGACCCAGAACUGAUAAUCAAGACUUUUAGGCUGGGUGAAUAAAAAAUUGAUGGUUGGAAAAUUAAGUUAUGUGUUUUUAAAUAUUGGAGGAGUUGACAGAUAAAGACAAGGCUUGGCUUUAUUUCAAUUUGACAUGCACAGGCUUGGAGCUGGAGUUGAACCGGCGACUUCAGGAUCACAGCGUUUCAGAUGAGAAACAUCCUACAGCCCUCCGCUCUACCAACGGCGCUAUCAGGGUGUUCUCUAGUCACAAUUGCAGAAAACAUAGUGGCUGAGACAACACCCUAUGCCCACACAACUAUUGGAACCCAUAGUCAAUCAAAAGCCCAGCCCUACCUGCAGAACAAAGCUUUGCAGCUUGUACCCAACAGUCAUUGCCAGGGACCCAGAACUGAUAAUCAAGACUUUUAGGCUGGGUGAAUAAAAAACUGAUGGUUGGAAAAUUAAGUUAUGUGGUUUGUGUUUUUAAAUAUUGGAGGAGUUGACAGAUAAAGACAAGGCUUGGCUUUAUUUCAAUUUGACAUGCACAGGCUUGGAGCUGGAGUUGAACCGGCGACUUCAGGAUCACAGCGUUUCAGAUGAGGAACAUCCUACAGCACUCCGCUCUACCAACUGAGCUAUCAGGGUGUUCUCUAGUCACAAUUGCAGAAAACAUAGUGGCUGAGACAACACCCUAUGCCCACACAACUAUUGGAACCCAUAGUCAAUCAAAAGCCCAGCCCUACCUGCAGAACAAAGCUUUGCAGUUUGUACCCAACAGUCAUUGCCAGGGACCCAGAACUGAUAAUCAAGACUUUUAGGCUGGGUGAAUAAAAAACUGAUGGUUGGAAAAUUAAGUUAUGUGGUUUGUGGUUUUAAAUAUUGGAGGAGUUGACAGAUAAAGACAAGGCUUGGCUUUAUUUCAAUUUGACAUGCACAGGCUUGGAGCUGGAGUUGAACCGGCGACUUCAGGAUCACAGCGUUUCAGAUUAGGAACAUCCUACAGCCCUCCGCUCUACCAACUGAGCUAUCAGGGUGUUCUCUAGUCACAAUUGCAGAAAACAUAGUGGCUGAGACAACACCCUAUGCCCACACAACUAUUGGAACCCAUAGUCAAUCAAAAGCCCAGCCCUACCUGCAGAACAAAGCUUUGCAGUUUGUACCCAACAGUCAUUGCCAGGGACCCAGAACUGAUAAUCAAGACUUUUAGGCUGGGUGAAUAAAAAAUUGAUGGUUGGAAAAUUAAGUUAUGUGUUUUUAAAUAUUGGAGGAGUUGACAGAUAAAGACAAGGCUUGGCUUUAUUUCAAUUUGACAUGCACAGGCUUGGAGCUGGAGUUGAGCCGGCGACUUCAGGAUCACAGCGUUUCAGAUGAGGAACAUCCUACAGCUCUCCGCUCUACCAACUGAGCUAUCAGGGUGUUCUCUAGUCACAAUUGCAGAAAACAUAGUGGCUGAGACAACACCCUAUGCCCACACAACUAUUGGAACCCAUAGUCAAUCAAAAGCCCAGCCCUACCUGCAGAACAAAGCUUUGCAGCUUGUACCCAACAGUCAUUGCCAGGGACCCAGAACUGAUAAUCAAGACUUUUAGGCUGGGUGAAUAAAAAAAUUGAUGGUUGGAAAAUUAAGUUAUGUGGUUUGUGGUUUUAAAUAUUGGAGGAGUUGACAGAUAAAGACAAGGCUUGGCUUUAUUUCAAUUUGACAUGCACAGGCUUGGAGCUGGAGUUGAACCGGCGACUUCAGGAUCACAGCGUUUCAGAUGAGGAACAUCCUACAGCCCUCAGCUCUACCAACUGAGCUAUGAGGGUGUUCUCUAGACACAAUUGCAGAAAACAUAGUGGCUGAGACAACACCCUAUGCCCACACAACUAUUGGAACCCAUAGUCAAUCAAAAGCCCAGCCCUACCUGCAGAACAAAGCUUUGCAGCUUGUACCCAACAGUCAUUGCCAGGGACCCAGAACUGAUAAUCAAGACUUUUAGGCUGGGUGAAUAAAAAACUGAUGGUUGGAAAAUUAAGUUAUGUGGUUUGACAUAUUGGAGGAGUUGACAGAUAAAGACAAGGCUUGGCUUUAUUUCAAUUUGACAUGCACAGGCUUGGAGCUGGAGUUGAACCGGCGACUUCAGGAUCACAGCGUUUCAGAUGAGGAACAUCCUACAGCCCUCCGCUCUAACAACUGAGCUAUCAGGGUGUUCUCUAGUCACAAUUGCAGAAAACAUAGUGGCUGAGACAACACCCUAUGCCCACACAACUAUUGGAACCCAUAGUCAAUCAAAAGCCCAGCCCUACCUGCAGAACAAAGCUUUGCAGUUUGUACCCAACAGUCAUUGCCAGAGACCCAGAACUGAUAAUCAAGACUUUUAGGCUGGGUGAAUAAAAAAUUGAUGGUUGGAAAAUUAAGUUAUGUGGUUUUAAAUAUUGGAGGAGUUGACAGAUAAAGACAAGGCUUGGCUUUAUUUCAAUUUGACAUGCACAGGCUUGGAGCUGGAGUUGAACCGGCGACUUCAGGAUCACAGCGUUUCAGAUGAGGAACAUCCUACAGCCCUCCGCUCUACCAACUGAGCUAUCAGGGUGUUCUCUAGUCACAAUUGCAGAAAACAUAGUGGCUGAGACAACACCCUAUGCCCACACAACUAUUGGAACCCAUAGUCAAUCAAAAGCCCAGCCCUACCUGCAGAACAAAGCUUUGCAGUUUGUACCCAACAGUCAUUGCCAGGGACCCAGAACUGAUAAUCAUGACUUUUAGGCUGGGUGAAUAAAAAACUGAUGGUUGGAAAAUUAAGUUAUGUGGUUUGUGGUUUUAAAUAUUUGAGGAGUUGACAGAUAAAGACAAGGCUUGGCUUUAUUUCAAUUUGACAUGCACAGGCUUGGAGCUGGAGUUGAACCGGCGACUUCAGGAUCACAGCGUUUCAGAUGAGGAACAUCCUACAGCCCUCCGCUCUACCAACUGAGCUAUCAGGGUGUUCUCUAGUCACAAUUGCAGAAAACAUAGUGGCUGAGACAACACCCUAUGCCCACACAACUAUUGGAACCCAUAGUCAAUCAAAAGCCCAGCCCUACCUGCAGAACAAAGCUUUGCAGUUUGUACCCAACAGUCAUUGCAAGGGACCCAGAACUGAUAAUCAAGACUUUUAGGCUGGGUGAAUAAAAAAUUGAUGGUUGGAAAAUUAAGUUAUGUGGUUUGUGUUUUUAAAUAUUGGAGGAGUUGACAGAUAAAGACAAGGCUUGGCUUUAUUUCAAUUUGACAUGCACAGGCUUGGAGCUGGAGUUGAACCGGCGACUUCAGGAUCACAGCGUUUCAGAUGAGGAACAUCCUACAGCACUCCGCUCUACCAACUGAGCUAUCAGGGUGUUCUCUAGUCACAAUUGCAGAAAACAUAGUGGCUGAGACAACACCCUAUGCCCACACAACUAUUGGAACCCAUAGUCAAUCAAAAGCCCAGCCCUACCUGCAGAACAAAGCUUUGCAGUUUGUACCCAACAGUCAUUGCCAGGGACCCAGAACUGAUAAUCAAGACUUUUAGGCUGGGUGAAUAAAAAACUGAUGGUUGGAAAAUUAAGUUAUGUUGUUUGUGUUUUUAAGUAUUGGAGGAGUUGACAGAUAAAGACAAGGCUUGGCUUUAUUUCAAUUUUAACAUGCACAGGCUUGGAGCUGGAGUUGAACGAGCGACUUCAGGAUCACAGCGUUUCAGAUGAGGAACAUGCUACAGCGCUCCGCUCUACCAACUGAGCUAUCAGGGUGUUCUCUAGUCACAAUCGCAGAAAACAUAGUGGCUGGGACAACACCCUAUGCCCACACAACUAUUGGAACCCAUAGUCAAUCAAAAGCCCAGCCCUACCUGCAGAACAAAGCUUUGCAGUUUGUACCCAACAGUCAUUGCCAGGGACCCAGAACUGAUAAUCAAGACUUUUAGGCUGGGUGAAUAAAAAAUUGAUGGUUGGAAAAUUAAGUUAUGUGUUUUUAAAUAUUGGAGGAGUUGACAGAUAAAGACAAGGCUUGGCUUUAUUUCAAUUUGACAUGCACAGGCUUGGAGCUGGAGUUGAACCGGCGACUUCAGGAUCACAGCGUUUCAGAUGAGAAACAUCCUACAGCCCUCCGCUCUACCAACGGCGCUAUCAGGGUGUUCUCUAGUCACAAUUGCAGAAAACAUAGUGGCUGAGACAACACCCUAUGCCCACACAACUAUUGGAACCCAUAGUCAAUCAAAAGCCCAGCCCUACCUGCAGAACAAAGCUUUGCAGCUUGUACCCAACAGUCAUUGCCAGGGACCCAGAACUGAUAAUCAAGACUUUUAGGCUGGGUGAAUAAAAAACUGAUGGUUGGAAAAUUAAGUUAUGUGGUUUGUGUUUUUAAAUAUUGGAGGAGUUGACAGAUAAAGACAAGGCUUGGCUUUAUUUCAAUUUGACAUGCACAGGCUUGGAGCUGGAGUUGAACCGGCGACUUCAGGAUCACAGCGUUUCAGAUGAGGAACAUCCUACAGCCGUCCGCUCUACCAACUGAGCUAUCAGGGUGUUCUCUAGUCACAAUUGCAGAAAACAUAGUGGCUGAGACAACACCCUAUGCCCACACAACUAUUGGAACCCAUAGUCAAUCAAAAGCCCAGCCCUAGCUGCAGAACAAAGCUUUGCAGCUUGUACCCAACAGUCAUUGCCAGGGACCCAGAACUGAUAAUCAAGACUUUUAGGCUGGGUGAAUAAAAAAUUGAUGGUUGGAAAAUUAAGUUAUGUGGUUUGUGGUUUUAAAUAUUGGAGGAGUUGACAGAUAAAGACAAGGCUUGGCUUUAUUUCAAUUUGACAUGCACAGGCUUGGAGCUGGAGUUGAACCGGCGACUUCAGGAUCACAGCGUUUCAGAUGAGGAACAUCCUACAGCCCUCCGCUUUACCAACUGAGCUAUCAGGGUGUUCUGUAGUCACAAUUGCAGAAAACAUAGUGGCUGAGACAACACCCUAUGCCCACACAACUAUUGGAACCCAUAGUCAAUCAAAAGCCCAGCCCUACCUGCAGAACAAAGCUUUGCAGCUUGUACCCAACAGUCAUUGCCAGGGACCCAGAACUGAUAAUCAAGACUUUUAGGCUGGGUGAAUAAAAAACUGAUGGUUGGAAAAUUAAGUUAUGUGGUUUGUGUUUUUAAAUAUUGGAGGAGUUGACAGAUAAAGAGAAGGCUUGGCUUUAUUUCAAUUUGACAUGCACAGGCUUGGAGCUGGAGUUGAACUGGCGACUUCAGGAUCACAGCGUUUCAGAUGAGGAACAUCCUACAGCCCUCCGCUCUACCAACUGAGCUAUCAGGGUGUUCUCUAGUCACAAUUGCAGAAAACAUAGUGGCUGAGACAACACCCUAUGCCCACACAACUAUUGGAACCCAUAGUCAAUCAAAAGCCCAGCCCUACCUGCAGAACAAAGCUUUGCAGUUUGUACCCAACAGUCAUUGCCAGGGACCCAGAACUGAUAAUCAAGACUUUUAGGCUGGGUGAAUAAAAAACUGAUGGUUGGAAAAUUAAGUUAUGUGGUUUGUGGUUUUAAAUAUUGGAGGAGUUGACAGAUAAAGACAAGGCUUGGCUUUAUUUCAAUUUGACAUGCACAGGCUUGGAGCUGGAGUUGAACCGGCGACUUCAGGAUCACAGCGUUUCAGAUUAGGAACAUCCUACAGCCCUCCGCUCUACCAACUGAGCUAUCAGGGUGUUCUCUAGUCACAAUUGCAGAAAACAUAGUGGCUGAGACAACACCCUAUGCCCACACAACUAUUGGAACCCAUAGUCAAUCAAAAGCCCAGCCCUACCUGCAGAACAAAGCUUUGCAGUUUGUACCCAACAGUCAUUGCCAGGGACCCAGAACUGAUAAUCAAGACUUUUAGGCUGGGUGAAUAAAAAAUUGAUGGUUGGAAAAUUAAGUUAUGUGUUUUUAAAUAUUGGAGGAGUUGACAGAUAAAGACAAGGCUUGGCUUUAUUUCAAUUUGACAUGCACAGGCUUGGAGCUGGAGUUGAACCGGCGACUUCAGGAUCACAGCGUUUCAGAUGAGGAACAUCCUACAGCUCUCCGCUCUACCAACUGAGCUAUCAGGGUGUUCUCUAGUCACAAUUGCAGAAAACAUAGUGGCUGAGACAACACCCUAUGCCCACACAACUAUUGGAACCCAUAGUCAAUCAAAAGCCCAGCCCUACCUGCAGAACAAAGCUUUGCAGCUUGUACCCAACAGUCAUUGCCAGGGACCCAGAACUGAUAAUCAAGACUUUUAGGCUGGGUGAAUAAAAAAAUUGAUGGUUGGAAAAUUAAGUUAUGUGGUUUGUGGUUUUAAAUAUUGGAGGAGUUGACAGAUAAAGACAAGGCUUGGCUUUAUUUCAAUUUGACAUGCACAGGCUUGGAGCUGGAGUUGAACCGGCGACUUCAGGAUCACAGCGUUUCAGAUGAGGAACAUCCUACAGCCCUCAGCUCUACCAACUGAGCUAUCAGGGUGUUCUCUAGCCACAAUUGCAGAAAACAUAGUGGCUGAGACAACACCCUAUGCCCACACAACUAUUGGAACCCAUAGUCAAUCAAAAGCCCAGCCCUACCUGCAGAACAAAGCUUUGCAGCUUGUACCCAACAGUCAUUGCCAGGGACCCAGAACUGAUAAUCAAGACUUUUAGGCUGGGUGAAUAAAAAACUGAUGGUUGGAAAAUUAAGUUAUGUGGUUUGACAUAUUGGAGGAGUUGACAGAUAAAGACAAGGCUUGGCUUUAUUUCAAUUUGACAUGCACAGGCUUGGAGCUGGAGUUGAACCGGCGACUUCAGGAUCACAGCGUUUCAGAUGAGGAACAUCCUACAGCCCUCCGCUCUACCAACUGAGCUAUCAGGGUGUUCUCUAGUCACAAUUGCAGAAAACAUAGUGGCUGAGACAACACCCUAUGCCCACACAACUAUUGGAACCCAUAGUCAAUCAAAAGCCCAGCCCUACCUGCAGAACAAAGCUUUGCAGUUUGUACCCAACAGUCAUUGCCAGAGACCCAGAACUGAUAAUCAAGACUUUUAGGCUGGGUGAAUAAAAAAUUGAUGGUUGGAAAAUUAAGUUAUGUGGUUUUAAAUAUUGGAGGAGUUGACAGAUAAAGACAAGGCUUGGCUUUAUUUCAAUUUGACAUGCACAGGCUUGGAGCUGGAGUUGAACCGGCGACUUCAGGAUCACAGCGUUUCAGAUGAGGAACAUCCUACAGCCCUCCGCUCUACCAAGUGAGCUAUCAGGGUGUUCUCUAGUCACAAUUGCAGAAAACAUAGUGGCUGAGACAACACCCUAUGCCCACACAACUAUUGGAACCCAUAGUCAAUCAAAAGCCCAGCCCUACCUGCAGAACAAAGCUUUGCAGUUUGUACCCAACAGUCAUUGCCAGGGACCCAGAACUGAUAAUCAAGACUUUUAGGCUGGGUGAAUAAAAAAUUGAUGGUUGGAAAAUUAAGUUAUGUGGUUUGUGUUUUUAAAUAUUGGAGGAGUUGACAGAUAAAGACAAGGCUUGGCUUUAUUUCAAUUUGACAUGCACAGGCUUGGAGCUGGAGUUGAACCGGCAACUUCAGGAUCACAGCGUUUCAGAUGAGGAACAUCCUACAGCCCUCAGCUCUACCAACUGAGCUAUCAGGGUGUUCUCUAGCCACAAUUGCAGAAAACAUAGUGGCUGAGACAACACCCUAUGCCCACACAACUAUUGGAACCCAUAGUCAAUCAAAAGCCCAGCCCUACCUGCAGAACAAAGCUUUGCAGCUUGUACCCAACAGUCAUUGCCAGGGACUCAGAACUGAUAAUCAAGACUUUUAGGCUGGGUGAAUAAAAAACUGAUGGUUGGAAAAUUAAGUUAUGUGGUUUGUGGUUUUAAAUAUUGGAGGAGUUGACAGAUAAAGACAAGGCUUGGCUUUAUUUCAAUUUGACAUGCACAGGCUUGGAGCUGGAGUUGAACCGGCGACUUCAGGAUCACAGCGUUUCAGAUGAGGAACAUCCUACAGCCCUCCGCUCUACCAACUGAGCUAUCAGGGUGUUCUCUAGUCACAAUUGCAGAAAACAUAGUGGCUGAGACAACACCCUAUGCCCACACAACUAUUGGAACCCAUAGUCAAUCAAAAGCCCAGCCCUACCUGCAGAACAAAGCUUUGCAGUUUGUACCCAACAGUCAUUGCCAGGGACCCAGAACUGAUAAUCAAGACUUUUAGGCUGGGUGAAUAAAAAAUUGAUGGUUGGAAAAUUAAGUUAUGUGGUUUGUGUUUUUAAAUAUUGGAGGAGUUGACAGAUAAAGACAAGGCUUGGCUUUAUUUCAAUUUGACAUGCACAGGCUUGGAGCUGGAGUUGAACCAGCGACUUCAGGAUCACAGCGUUUCAGAUGAGGAACAUCCUACAGCCCUCCGCUCUACCAAGUGAGCUAUCAGGGUGUUCUCUAGUCACAAUUGCAGAAAACAUAGUGGCUGAGACAACACCCUAUGCCCACACAACUAUUGGAACCCAUAGUCAAUCAAAAGCCCAGCCCUACCUGCAGAACAAAGCUUUGCAGUUUGUACCCAACAGUCAUUGCCAGGGACCCAGAACUGAUAAUCAAGACUUUUAGGCUGGGUGAAUAAAAAAUUGAUGGUUGGAAAAUUAAGUUAUGUGGUUUGUGUUUUUAAAUAUUGGAGGAGUUGACAGAUAAAGACAAGGCUUGGCUUUAUUUCAAUUUGACAUGCACAGGCUUGGAGCUGGAGUUGAACCGGCGACUUCAGGAUCACAGCGUUUCAGAUGAGGAACAUCCUACAGGCCUCAGCUCUACCAACUGAGCUAUCAGGGUGUUCUCUAGCCACAAUUGCAGAAAACAUAGUGGCUGAGACAACACCCUAUGCCCACACAACUAUUGGAACCCAUAGUCAAUCAAAAGCCCAGCCCUACCUGCAGAACAAAGCUUUGCAGCUUGUACCCAACAGUCAUUGCCAGGGACCCAGAACUGAUAAUCAAGACUUUUAGGCUGGGUGAAUAAAAAACUGAUGGUUGGAAAAUUAAGUUAUGUGGUUUGUGGUUUUAAAUAUUGGAGGAGUUGACAGAUAAAGACAAGGCUUGGCUUUAUUUCAAUUUGACAUGCACAGGCUUGGAGCUGGAGUUGAACCGGCGACUUCAGGAUCACAGCGUUUCAGAUGAGGAACAUCCUACAGCUCUCCGCUCUACCAACUGAGCUAUCAGGGUGUUCUCUAGUCACAAUUGCAGAAAACAUAGUGGCUGAGACAACACCCUAUGCCCACACAACUAUUGGAACCCAUAGUCAAUCAAAAGCCCAGCCCUACCUGCAGAACAAAGCUUUGCAGUUUGUACCCAACAGUCAUUGCCAGGGACCCAGAACUGAUAAUCAAGACUUUUAGGCUGGUUGAAUAAAAAAUUGAUGGUUGGAAAAUUAAGUUAUGUGGUUUGUGUUUUUAAAUAUUGGAGGAGUUGACAGAUAAAGACAAGGCUUGGCUUUAUUUCAAUUUGACAUGCACAGGCUUGGAGCUGGAGUUGAACCGGCGACUUCAGGAUCACAGCGUUUCAGAUAAGGAACAUCCUACAGCCCUCCGCUCUACCAACUGAGCUAUCAGGGUGUUCUCUAGUCACAAUUGCAGAAAACAUAGUGGCUGAGACAACACCCUAUGCCCACACAACUAUUGGAACCCAUAGUCAAUCAAAAGCCCAGCCCUACCUGCAGAACAAAGCUUUGCAGUUUGUACCCAACAGUCAUUGCCAGGGACCCAGAACUGAUAAUCAAGACUUUUAGGCUGGUUGAAUAAAAAAUUGAUGGUUGGAAAAUUAAGUUAUGUGGUUUUAAAUAUUGGAGGAGUUGACAGAUAAAGACAAGGCUUGGCUUUAUUUCAAUUUGACAUGCACAGGCUUGGAGCUGGAGUUGAACCGGCGACUUCAGGAUCACAGCGUUUCAGAUGAGGAACAUCCUACAGCCCUCCGCUCUACCAACUGAGCUAUCAGGGUGUUCUCUAGUGACAAUUGAGAAAACAUAGUGGCUGAGACAACACCCUAUGCCCACACAACUAUUGGAACCCAUAGUCAAUCAAAAGCCCAGCCCUACCUGCAGAACAAAGCUUUGCAGUUUGUACCCAACAGUCAUUGCCAGGGACCCAGAACUGAUUAUCAAGACUUUUAGGCUGGGUGAAUAAAAAACUGAUGGUUGGAAAAUUAAGUUAUGUUGUUUGUGUUUUUAAACAUUGGAGGAGUUGACAGAUAAAGACAAGGCUUGGCUUUAUUUCAAUUUUAACAUGCACAGGCUUGGAGCUGGAGUUGAACCAGCGACUUCAGGAUCACAGCGUUUCAGAUGAGGAACAUGCUACAGCCCUCCGCUCUACCAACUGAGCUAUCAGGGUGUUCUCUAGUCACAAUCGCAGAAAACAUAGUGGCUGAGACAACACCCUAUGCCCACACAACUAUUGGAACCCAUAGUCAAUCAAAAGCCCAGCCCUACCUGCAGAACAAAGCUUUGCAGCUUGUACCCAACAGUCAUUGCCAGGGACCCAGAACUGAUAAUCAAGACUUUUAGGCUGGGUGAAUAAAAAAUUGAUGGUUGGAAAAUUAAGUUAUGUGGUUUUAAAUAUUGGAGGAGUUGACAGAUAAAGACAAGGCUUGGCUUUAUUUCAAUUUGACAUGCACAGGCUUGGAGCUGGAGUUGAACCGGCGACUUCAGGAUCACAGCGUUUCAGAUGAGGAACAUCCUACAGCCCUCCGCUCUACCAACUGAGCUAUCAGGGUGUUCUCUAGUCACAAUUGCAGAAAACAUAGUGGCUGAGACAACACCCUAUGCCCACACAACUAUUGGAACCCAUAGUCAAUCAAAAGCCCAGCCCUACCUGCAGAACAAAGCUUUGCAGUUUGUACCCAACAGUCAUUGCCAGGGACCCAGAACUGAUAAUCAAGACUUUUAGGCUGGGUGAAUAAAAAACUGAUGGUUGGAAAAUUAAGUUAUGUGGUUUGUGGUUUUAAAUAUUGGAGGAGUUGACAGAUAAAGACAAGGCUUGGCUUUAUUUCAAUUUGACAUGCACAGGCUUGGAGCUGGAGUUGAACCGGCGACUUCAGGAUCACAGCGUUUCAGAUGAGGAACAUCCUACAGCCCUCCGCUCUACCAACUGAGCUAUCAGGGUGUUCUCUAGUCACAAUUGCAGAAAACAUAGUGGCUGAGACAACACCCUAUGCCCACACAACUAUUGGAACCCAUAGUCAAUCAAAAGCCCAGCCCUACCUGCAGAACAAAGCUUUGCAGUUUGUACCCAACAGUCAUUGCCAGGGACCCAGAACUGAUAAUCAAGACUUUUAGGCUGGGUGAAUAAAAAAUUGAUGGUUGGAAAAUUAAGUUAUGUGGUUUGUGUUUUUAAAUAUUGGAGGAGUUGACAGAUAAAGACAAGGCUUGGCUUUAUUUCAAUUUGACAUGCACAGGCUUGGAGCUGGAGUUGAACCGGCGACUUCAGGAUCACAGCGUUUCAGAUGAGGAACAUCCUACAGCCCUCAGCUCUACCAACUGAGCUAUGAGGGUGUUCUCUAGCCACAAUUGCAGAAAACAUAGUGGCUGAGACAACACCCUAUGCCCACACAACUAUUGGAACCCAUAGUCAAUCAAAAGCCCAGCCCUACCUGCAGAACAAAGCUUUGCAGCUUGUACCCAACAGUCAUUGCCAGGGACCCAGAACUGAUAAUCAAGACUUUUAGGCUGGGUGAAUAAAAAACUGAUGGUUGGAAAAUUAAGUUAUGUGGUUUGUGGUUUUAAAUAUUGGAGGAGUUGACAGAUAAAGACAAGGCUUGGCUUUAUUUCAAUUUGACAUGCACAGGCUUGGAGCUGGAGUUGAACCGGCGACUUCAGGAUCACAGCGUUUCAGAUGAGGAACAUCCUACAGCCCUCCGCUCUACCAACUGAGCUAUCAGGGUGUUCUCUAGUCACAAUUGCAGAAAACAUAGUGGCUGAGACAACACCCUAUGCCCACACAACUAUUGGAACCCAUAGUCAAUCAAAAGCCCAGCCCUACCUGCAGAACAAAGCUUUGCAGUUUGUACCCAACAGUCAUUGCCA